GGUUUCAAAAAGCUCUGCAACAAAGUUACAGGUUUCAAAAAGCUCUGCAACAAAGUUACAGGAGUUUUUCAAACCAGGAAUCAUUAUUAGCAAACAGCCAAAUCCUUCUUCACUGCCCCUUCUGGUAUCUAUUCCACUGCAUUCCUCGGCCUGUUUAAAGGAAUUAUUUCUCCUAUUUCACCUGAGCCUAGUGAAAGAGGCAGGAUUGUUAUCUCUAAAUUACUUCUCUAUCUGGAAAGGGGACUUAGAGCUGUUAUGCAGCCUUCCUCGGGGGCAUGGUGGAUGGCAGCCUGGGAUUUGAACUACAGUAGAAUGACAACCAAGGCAACCUCAGAACACCACCUUUGUCUCUCAACAGGAAGGGGAAGGCAACUCCCUAGAGCUGAAAGUUCUCCUCUGUGUCUGUGCAAGCAAAGAGAACUGCCAGGUAGAUUCCCUGUGCACUGACAUCUGGGGAUGCCCGGGAGACGACUGGGGGCACAAGGAUCAUUGUGGGUGGCAGCACAGCUUUUAUACAAGGGGCAGGCUGCUCGGAGCAGCCACUGCCCGACUUCUGUUUGGAACAGCUGCUCAGUAGGUGCUGCUGAGAUGAUGGCCCUGGGUAUCACAGACGCCAGCCAAGCUGGAUAACAUCCCACUGGGUAAAUGUACAACACUUCAUUGUUCAUUCAUCAUUGAUGGACAUCUAGGCUGUUUCCAAUUUCUGGCUCUUAUGAAUAGAGCAGCAGUGAGCACAGAUGAGCAAGGUCUCUUUGGAAAGAGCUCAAAUGUACUCCUCACUACCACAAAUUAUGAAGUCAAAUUUACUCAGGGGUCAGCACACCCCAAAUGCACAGGUGUCUCAGGCCCACAGAGGACAUGGGGCAGCAAGUAGGACUCAGGGAAUAUGUCCAUAACCUGGAUACAGAACUAACGAUCUCGGGAAGAGCUGUGAGCAAAGAAACAUUAUCGAAGUUCAACAUGGUGUCCAAAACAAAAUCCCACAAUGUCUCCUACCUGAAUGAGAGCUUCUACUGAACUCCCCUCAAGAGCAUCUUGAAUCCCAAAAAGACUCCUACACAGAAGCCUUGACUAUCUGAUGUCCCCUUCUUGACAGCGCACUGGCCAGGGCUUCAUAGACACACAUCUUCUCUGGCUACAUGGCUGACGGGUAGGUCUGCGGCUCUGCUCUUCACUGCAUCUACUUGAUUUGGACACCACAACUCCAUCCUGUUUGCAUGAUCCAGUAUUGCACGAAUCCUGAUUUGGAAUUCUUCCCUUUUCUGACUUAGUGAAGAGGAGCCCAGUUUAGUGAUUAUUGAAAAAAAACAGACAUUUUUCUAGUGUUCACAAGGCAAGCACUGGUGCAAACCCACUGUUCACAUUAAAUAUGCUAUGGACCCAGAUGUGUAUUUUUUGGUAUUUUUCUUGAGAAGUUUUACUGACAAU